CGCCCCCAUUCUCAAUGGUCGCAGUCCGUGGCCACCCACUGCCCUCCCGUUCCACUAGUUCCUCAAUUCCCCCAGUUAUACAACCGAGACAACUUCCGUUCACUGUUCCUCGUUGGACUCUAAUAGAGAACGUACCAGGGCAAUUUAACUUCCGGUCACUGUGCCCCGGACCCGAUUGCAGAAAGUAGAAAUAACUUCCGUCCCCUGUUCCCUGUCAGGCAGCAUUUGAUCGUGGCCCUGUUCUGCAGUGGGUGGGGAAGCAGAGGUAGCCCUGAAGGGUCGGGGUCGCUAGCCAGCAAAUGUCGGGGGAGUGGGAGACGUGCAUGGACGCUGAGAGUUGCUGAUGUCACGGUGAAAGCGGUCACGGUGAAAGCAUGAGCAAGGAGUGACGUGAGGACAGCCGGUCACUGGCUACCAGCCCAGUCUGGGUAUACCCUGGGAAUUGCGGUCUCCAGCCUGCCGCACCUGGUGGUUUCCAAUUGCAGAGCUGAGGCAAGACAAGUCUGAAAAGCAGAGCAGCAGUCCAGAAAAGUGGAGAGCAAUAUUAAGAUGGCGUCUAAGGCAAGACAGUGGAGGGAGACAUGCUGGACAAUGCCAAGGAUUGGGGAGCAAACCAGAUGUGAACCCAGGGCACAGAGAGCUUGGGGGUAGGUAUCUGUCUGUAACCCUUCCCUGUCCCCUCUCACAGAUAGAGUCCAAGAGGGAUUCGAAGGACCGAACGACAGCUCCAGUACUAAAGGUGACUUAGGUGCCUGAUUCAGCUUCCAUGUGCGUGUCUAUCUGAAAUUGAACCAGUCAUCAGCCCUUUCCCAGCUGCCUCCUCACUGCCUAUCUGCUGUGUUCCUGGUGUUCUCUCU
rnacentral:lncRNA from 1 species